AUACGGAGGAUCCGAGCGUUAUCCGGAUUUAUUGGGUGUAAAGAGUGAGCAGGCGGUUAAUUAAGUCUGAGGUUAAAGCGUGGGGCUCAACCCCAUAAAGCCUUGGAAACUGAUUGACUAGAGUACGGGAGAAGUGAAGGGAACUCCAUGUGUAGCGGUGAAAUGCGUAGAUAUAUGGAAGAACACCAGUGGCGAAGGCGCUUCACUAGCCCGAAACUGACGCUCAGUCACGAAAGCGUGGGUAGCAAAUAGGAUUAGAUACCCUAGUAGUCCACGCUGUAAACGAUGACAACUAAAUAUUGCCGCGAGGCAGUGUUGAAGCUAACGCAUUAAGUUGUCCGCCUGGGGAGUACGGUCGCAAGACUGAAACUUAAAGGAAUUGACGGGG
rnacentral:rRNA from 1 species